UAACAAAUCGAGAGUUGCGCGUCCUUUCGAUUAAGAAGAAACCUAUGGUAAUACCUUCAUGAAUCUUGCUGGUGGUUCGGUCCGUGGUGCGGGACGCGCGGCUCAGUCUGGACUCUGGUUGGUCAGGCUCCUUGUAGGUGCUCGAUGAUUGGCCGGCGCUGAUUCCGCUCGUUCACACACACGAUCUCCAAGUUAAACGAUAAACGUAUACGCGCGGCGGCGUUUAUUGUAAAAGGAGAGGUUUCGUCAAAUAUUAAUAUAUAUACGUACUUAUAAUUGCUCAAAAGUAAUUAGUGUAUUUUAUAACUUCUGCAGUUGCUACACACAUAUCCAGACUUAUGUUAUAACUAUUUAUAAUAAUUAGACGCGGUUAACUAGGAAGAUUAAAUAAGAUGUACCUAUGAUUAGAUUGGAUUGCUCACGCGAGUAGAAUUUAGGAAUUUAACUAGAAAUCGCGAUACUCUGGAAGAGACCGUUUCUCUUCGACCAGACCCGACCCCGGGAAGUUUUGAACUACUCCUCAAAAACUCGCUGCUCGCGAGAGCAAGUCCCGUUUUUAGAACCCGAACGCUUUCAGGAAAAAGGUGCCCCUCCAUGCUGGUAGGGCGCGUGAGGUGGGGAGAAGAUGUCAGGGGCGGUCCCUGCAGUUCUAGUGCCCCGUCGGUUAUUGAA